UCAAUCUGAAAAUCCAUUUCAAGGUGUUAUGUUAUCCAUAUACACAUAUCAGGGGAGAAUCUAUCUACAAUUAUUCACAUUUUUUAGAUCAAUACGAUGCUUUAGCCACCUGAGAAAUACAAUAUUCACUAAGCCCGGAAGGUGAGGUUAAUAUUGUACUUUGAGGAUAGCUAAAGCAUCGCAUUGACCAAGGAAAUGUCAAUAAUUUUUAUAUUAUAUGACUAAGUUAAAACUUGAAACUAGCUACUAGAGUUUAUGAAACGAUACCUGGUCAGCCAUCUUUGAUUACAGAUAGGGUGCAAGAACUAGUCGAAAGUGAUAAGACACAAGUUUUUGUUUAUCAUAUGACUGAAUGAUUUAAAAUAUUGAAACCAUACUAGAGUACCAUACAAAAGCUGAUCAACCAACUUUGUUACAUCUAAAGUGCAAGACCUAGUCAAAAGUGAUAAGAGACAAGAAUUUUCAUUUGACAACCAAAACAUAAUAAUAACAAAUUACAUCAUUUUGGAAUUUGUUCCAAUGUUGGAAAAAUCAAAUGUUAUAUUCACCUCAAAGGCUUUUGGAGGUGAAUGCAACCUUCUCUUUUUUUUUUUUUUAGUUUGUUGGAUGUCAAACAAUCACAAAGCUCAGAAUUAUUCAUUUUACAACACAGUAAUGAAUUUCAGAUGGCAAAAUUGAAUUUCACACUUGUCCAGAUUUUUCUCUACCCUCAAGAUCUAUAGAAGCAUGGCAUCCUCUUUUACACCAAGGAUUUCAUACAGAUCUAAUUUAAGGAUAUCACCAGGACCUCCAGACAUCUUUUUUUUUCAAGUUAUAUCUGCAAAAGAAGUAUCAAAGUUAUAAAGAAGGAAUCCUCAAAACAUUUUUAAAACAACCAGUGUUAAACAUUAAACUGGGGCAUUCAGUUUGAUGAAUUUUUGGAAAACUGUUAUUGAUUUCUUGAUCAGAACACUGACCUUUCAAUUUGGCAAUAAAAAACAUAU